GACGAACCGUGCGAACGUUGUUCGGAAUCACUGGGUUUAAAGGGUGCGUAGGUGGCGCGUUAAGUCCGUUGUGAAAGCCCUGGGCUCAACCCAGGAACUGCUUCGGAUACUGGCGCGCUUGAGGCUAGUAGGGGUCACUGGAACUGACGGUGGAGCGGUGAAAUGCGUAGAUAUCGUCAGGAACGCCAAUGGUGAAGACAGGUGACUGGGCUAGUUCUGACACUGAGGCACGAAAGCGUGGGGAGCGAACGGG
rnacentral:rRNA from 1 species